rnacentral:rRNA from 1 species
AGUGAACGCUGGCGGUAGGCCUAACACAUGCAAGUCGAACGGCAGCACAGUAAGAGCUUGCUCUUACGGGUGGCGAGUGGCGGACGAGUGAGGAAUACAUCGGAAUCUACUUUUUCGUGGGGGAUAACGUAGGGAAACUUACGCUAAUACCGCAUACGACCUACGGGUGAAAGCAGGGGAUCUUCGGACCUUGCGCGAUUGAAUGAGCCGAUGUCGGAUUAGCUAGUUGGCGGGGUAAAGGCCCACCAAGGCGACGAUCCGUAGCUGGUCUGAGAGGAUGAUCAGCCACACUGGAACUGAGACACGGUCGAGACUCCUACGGGAGGCAGCAGUGGGGAAUAUUGGACAAUGGGCGCAAGCCUGAUCCAGCCAUACCGCGUGGGUGAAGAAGGACUUCGGGUUGUAAAGCCAUUUUGUUGGGAAAGAAAAGAAGCAGGUUAAUACCCCGCUGUUCUGACGGUACCCAAAGAAUAAGCACCGGCUAACUUCGUG